rnacentral:lncRNA from 1 species
CCAAACGGGCUCUAAGGCAGCAGUAUCACCAGAUCACUAGCUUACCAAACACAACAUGGCUCGCGUACUCUCAGAAUAGAAAGUUGUGCUAGCAAUCAAAUUAUUUGUAUUUGGAUCCUGCAUAAGAAAUCAAGAAUUGCAACAUAAUGUUAAUUUGAAGGUAAAAAAUCUUGAAGAGAACAAGCCAAAAUAGACGAAAGAUCAGAAACUCACAAGUCCUGGACACACCAGAGAGUUGCAACAUAAUGUUAAUGUGAAGGUAAAAAUUCCUGAAGGGAACAAGCCAAAAUAGACGAAAGAUCAGAAACUCACAAGUCCUGGACACACCAUCAACCGGAGACUGUUGAACAAGUCUGCCAUUUCAA